AAUAAGAUAGGAUAAUUAAGUCUAGUAGGUUCAUACCCUGCGGGUGUUUUCUCUUGUUA
rnacentral:tRNA from 1 species